GUCUCGACAGCUAAGUGGUAUAGUGUGCGAUUGCAAAUCGCGAGGCCCUGUGUUCGAACCACGGUCGGGACU